GCCUCAGGGCCACGGCACUGGGCUAAGAACAGCACGCACGGCUGACCAAUGCCACGGCUCUCCAGGGACUCAAUUCCCAGAACACAACACUCGGCUUCACACGCGAGACGACCGCUGACCACAGUCGCCUCCUGACCCGCAAUAACUCUGAAAAAUGCAAUCUGGGAGCGCGGGAAGGAAAGGGGGAACCUGAGAAAGGGAUAGGGAAGCUGUCCUGAAGUCAAGAGGAUGACAACCCAGUUAACAGGAACCGGGUCGCAACACAAACCCGCCCCCGGCUUCGGGCCGACCCUUCCCGGCGGCAGGAGGCCAGGGCGGGGCGGAGGCGCCGGGUGGGGGAGUCGGGGGAGGGAGACGCGGCCCGGGUUUCCCAGCGGCCUCACGUGGCGGGUUCUCCUUUGGGGGCCGGGGCGACGCGGGGCUGGGGGCCGACGGCGUCAAGAGAGACGCCGGCCCUCAGCCCCGCGGCCCGGGCCUCCGUCUCCGCCCCGGCCGCCCACCCGCCCUUCCUGCUCGGCGGCCCCGUACUCACGCUGGCUUCAUGGUAGCGGGCUCCGCGCUGCCCGGACGCGCGCGCAGGACGCCGAGCUCGAUCCGGCAGGCUGGCGAAGACGGCGGGACGCAGGAACAAGCCGCGGGAACAAGGACUCCACGGCUCAGGCGCCGCACUCGGGAAAGCCGGGCUGAGCAGCUGCUUGCCCAGGAAAUUCAAUGGAAGAGCAAUUCCAGAAUUGAAUCAGAGGUCCAUACUGCCGUUGUGGUCUAGGAGUGUUCCACUCCUGUGCUAUGCCCGGCUUGGAGCCAGCUGGUAACUAUCAUACAUCUACAUCUGUGCUUUCAUGGAACUCUAGCGCCUUCUCGACUUCCUGCAGGAUCAUAGCACUGGUAAGGAUAGUCAUAAUUUAGUAUCCUUGGCCCAUAUUGUUGGUGUUGGGGCCUAGAAAACAAUUCCCCAAAGUAUGGCUCUUUGAAAUGCUGAGUACUUUGAACUAAAGGAGAUUGGAAGGCCUCAGAAGCAGCAUCAGAAGCCAAGUCGCUCCUCCAACCUUCUGCCCUUCUGUCUCCCAUCCCUCUUUCUCCCCUAAAACAAGUCAUAAAAAACAGAAUUCCUCUUCCCCAAGACAGGUCACAGAAACUAGAACUCCUCUUCCCCAAAGUAAGCCAGAAAUAUUACUUUAGAAAAACCUAGAAAUAUUACUCUAACCUUCCCCCACCUUUCUGUGUAGGAGCUGGCCAUAAUGAAAUUCUUUGAUCAACCUUGUCUGAUAGUAGGUCAUACGACUCUUAUUCCAGAAGGAUCCUGCCAUAUACCCCAGAGAAAGGAAUGCUACACAGAGAGGCCAAGAGGAAUCUGAACAGAUAGGCUUUUCUGGGUUCCCUCUCAGUCUAUUAGUUCAUACUCCUUUUGGCCAAUCACAUUUCUACACAACUGUCCAUUCUUCAUCGAAUCUAAAUAUAAAAACGGACAAUUUUCCGUGGGUCUGUAGGUCUUCCUUCCUGAGGGCUCCUAUGUCAUGUAAAACUUUCAUUAAAUAAAUCUGUUAUCAUUUUAUCUUGUUAACCUGUCUUUUGUUAUAGUAAUGUCAGCUGUGACUCUUAUGUUAGGUAAAAAAUGUAUCAUACCUUUUCAAC